rnacentral:rRNA from 1 species
UACGUAGGGUGCAAGCGUUUAAUCGGAAUUACUGGGCGUAAAGGGUGUGUAGGCGGUUGUUUUAAGUUUGGUGUGAAAUCUCCCGGCUCAACUGGGAGGGUGCGCCGAAUACUGAAUGACUAGAGUGCGGGAGAGGAAAGUGGAAUUCCUGGUGUAGCGGUGAAAUGCGUAGAUAUCAGGAGGAACACCGGUGGUGUAGACGGCUUUCUGGACCGUAACUGACGCUGAAACACGAAAGCGUGGGUAGCAAACAGG